GUUACAGCUGUAAAACUACUAAUUCUUCUAAAAACUCUAAAUUAUGUGAUAAUUUCAAUAAUAUGUUAUCAAAUAUGUUUUAAUGGUGAUAUUACAAAGCCUCCGAAGUCCCAGAAUGUGUUAUUAGUUUUAUUUUGAGUUCACACGAUGCAAGGAUCUGAAACAAGACAACAACAUGUGCACAUUAGAUUUAAAAAUUGUAAAUAAAUAAUCUAUCAGGAUAUCUACAACCCCUCAAAUUGACCAUGUAGAGCUACUGCCUUCCAUCUUCUAUCAUCAGUAUUAGUCUGGCUCUACAGGCAGAUGUGUCUUUUACUGUUCAAGCUGUUGCUUUUCCCUCCUUGUACUUCCAUAUCCUGCCCUCACUGUUUGCCCUGUCAGUAGCUGUCUAUCAGUGCACUUAUAUCUCAGUAUACUGGGGCCAUUAAUUAAAAGACAACCUGUACAGCAUCCAUUUUAGAGCAUGAGUGAAGCGAUUCAGUUGCUGCUUGAUAAUCACUGAUGUUUUCUGUCUGCUCAGGCUGCCUCUGCACAAAACCCCACAAGACAGCAAGCUGGAAACACCGAGGACGAUUAUGUCAACUACACUUCUCUGCACUUUAAGAAUAAGAUAAAGAACAAGCAAAGAAAGGUGGAAGAAGACCCUGUGUAUGCGAAGGUGUCCAAGCCAACGCGAGUUAGAAAGAAUGACCCAGAGAUCCUGCAGGACUAUGAUGACGUUAGUAAUGCAACUGCACGUGCACCAACAUCUCCAAAUCUAUUUGACGACCACACCAGUGAAGGUGAAGUGGAGCUCCACUAUUCACAGGUGACAUUCACAGCGACGCCCCGACGUCAGACGACCAACAGAGACUCCAGCAGCUCACACGAAG